rnacentral:SRP_RNA from 2 species
UGUUGGUUCUCCCGCAACGCUACUCUGUUUACCAAGUCAGGUCCGGAAGGAAGCAGCCAAGGCAGAUGACGCGUGUGCCGGGAUGUAGCUGGCAGGG